UAUGGUGUGUACAAGCUUGUUGGAAGCAAAACAAAGCCUACUUGAUCACUUUUUCACGGAGCUAGGCAAAAUGGUUCAAAAGCGGUUGUCAUCAUUGCUGAAUGAGGAUCCUGCGAUCAUGAAAAGAU